AGCGAACGCUGGCGGCAGGCCUAACACAUGCAAGUCGAACGAAGUCUUCGGACUUAGUGGCGGACGGGUGAGUAACACGUGGGAACGUGCCUUUAGGUUCGGAAUAACUCAGGGAAACUUGUGCUAAUACCGAAUGUGCCCUUCGGGGGAAAGAUUUAUCGCCUUUAGAGCGGCCGCGUCUGAUUAGCUAGUUGGUGGGGUAAUGGCCCACCAAGGCUACGAUCAGUAGCUGGUCUGAGAGGAUGACCAGCCACAUUGGGACUGAGACACGGCCCAAGCUCCUACGGGAGGCAGCAGUGGGGAAUCUUGCGCAAUGGGCGAAAGCCUGACGCAGCCAUGCCGCGUGGAUGAUGAAGGUCUUAGGAUUGUAAAAUCCUUUCACCGGUGAAGAUAAUGACUGUAGCCGGAGAAGAAGCCCCGGCUAACUUCGUGCCAGCCGCCGCCGUAAGAC
rnacentral:rRNA from 1 species